CUAGUGUCUGAUGUGACAUUACUACGAUGUGAGGUCAGGGUGUUUCCUGAAUUUGACCCUGAUUGAUGUGAUCCAAUAGGUUGAAGCCACGCCCUCACGUAACGGCUCUAGAAUGCGUAAUCUUCUACAAGAUUCUUUCCCCCGCGCCAUUCCCCCCUCGCUUGUGCAAGGAAGAACUUGACUGCUCAAGUUUCAGCUCAAUUUAAUUUGCUGAAUGGAGCUGAUAUGGACCUGAAGGAUUCCUCGCGGGUCAAUGUGGAGGCUGAUAUAUUCGACGAACUACUGAGAUCUGCUAAAGUAUCUUUCAAGGUGUCCACUGAGCUCUCUGCUGAGAGCGAGGUGUCAGAUGCCUCCUUCGUCUCAGAAGAGGGGUUGUUCUCACCAUUCCAGCCUGUGAGGUCAUCUUCAUCAGUCGAGUCUGUGAACUCCACAGCUUCAACAGUGAGCCAAAAAGAAUGGAAAAAGUGACAACUGACUGAGGGACCACCUGACU
rnacentral:lncRNA from 1 species